rnacentral:rRNA from 1 species
GAAAGCAGAGACUAGAUACUGGAGAUUAGAGACUAGAGGGAACAAAGAGACAUAAAAAGCACUUAAGUGCUUUAGAGUGUCUACGAAGAUGAACCCUGGAGUCUGGUGUCUAGUUUCUGGUAUCUAGUUUCUGCUUUAGUGGCGGACGGGUGAGUAACGCGUGGGCAACCUGCCUUAUACAGGGGGAUAACACUGGGAAACUAGUGCUAAUACCGCAUAACAUCAAAUGGUGGCAUCACCGAAUGAUCAAAGGAGCAAUCCGGUAUAAGAUGGGCCCGCGUCCGAUUAGCUAGUUGGUGGUGUAACGGACCACCAAGGCGACGAUCGGUAGCCGAACUGAGAGGUUGAUCGGCCACAUUGGAACUGAGACACGGUCCAGACCCCUACGGGAGGCAGCAGUGGGGAAUAUUGCACAAUGGAGGAAACUCUGAUGCAGCAACGCCGCGUGAAGGAUGAAGGUCUUCGGAUUGUAAACUUCUUUGAUUGGGGACGAAUAAUGACGGUACCCAAGGAACAAGCCACGGCUAACUACGUGCCAGCAGCCGCGGUAAUACGUAGGUGACAAGCGUUGUCCGGAAUUACUGGGUGUAAAGGGCGUGUAGGCGGGACUGUAAGUCAGAUGUGAAAUUCCAAGGCUUAACCUUGGCGCUGCAUCUGAAACUAUGGUUCUUGAGUGCUGGAGAGGAAAGCGGAAUUCCUAGUGUAGCGGUGAAAUGCGUAGAUAUUAGGAGGAACACCAGUGGCGAAGGCGGCUUUCUGGACAGUAACUGACGCUGAGGCGCGAAAGCGUGGGGA